UUUUGCAACUCAUCUCGACUUCGUCUUCCACGUGACAACAAAAGCAGAAUAAACAUUUAUCAGUUCUUCACCAAUUCUCGACUUAAACCAGAGAGAAGGGCUUUUCAGUGGGAAGGAGGCUACUUCUCGUGCCAUGACACUAAUUUUCGAUUUAAACCAGGUUUUGGUAAUCUAUUUCUAACUAUGACAAGUUAUUUUCGUUAAAAUCUCACACAGCCAUUCACCGAAUUUGACAUCGGAAUCAUGGUGCUGGAAAUCAUAAAAAAGUAGUAUGUGGAUCUUCCUUCAGCCUCUUACUGGAGGUAAUUGGAUAACAACUACUGCUUUCUUAGUUUUCACUGGCUUUGUGGUUUGGCUGAUUGAACGUCCCAUCAACGACGAGUUCACAAAUAGGAAUGAUCUUUUUGUACUCUUUCUCAACUCUAGUAAUUGCUUACAUUUAGCGGAUUCAAUCGAGCUCGAGAGAUAACUAUGUCGGUUAUCAGUUUCUGGUUCCAAGAGCUAUUAUUAGUAGCGUAAAAAUUGAAAAUUUGAGGCAAGUAGAAUGCCGAUAUCCAGAAGAAUAUGACGAUGCACUAAGAAGGCGAAGUAAGAAUGGUGGUGUGUUGGCCAUUAUUGAUGAUAUAUCAAACCUUAAAUUAUUCCUUGCCAAGUACCCUGCAGAUUACACCAUGAUUAAAUCCAAGGCUACUUCAGGCGGUUUUGCCUUUGUAUUCCCAAAAGGUUCCCCACUCGUCAAGACAUAUCAGGUGCAAUUAUGAGACUAAGAGAGGAAUAAAAGCUGCAAAUGAUGGAAAAUAAAUGGCUUAACGGUGUAUUUCUCGAAAAAUCACCGGUGAUCGGUAUAUUUAUCGAUCUAACACCGGUCAGAUUAUAUUUUUUGAUCUAAUACCCGUAGCAAUAAAGCGCGCCCCUUGUCUCGCGCUAUAUGUUGAUUUGGCGCCACGUGGGGUAUAGCGCGCCCCCUGCACCGCGCUAUACGCUGACAUGGAUUACACGUGGGUAUAGCGUGGCCCCUGAUCCGUGCUAUACGCCACGUAAGGGUAUAGCGCGGAUUAGGGGCCGCGCUAUACCUAGUUAUUUGACACGUGGGGUAUAGCGCGGUACAUUGGGCGUUAUACCCAUAAUUACCCCCAUACCCCCGACGCUUCACACCCCCAAUCCUUCCUAUAAAUACCCCCAUCCUCAAUCACUUU